GGGGUGGUAGCUCAGUCUGGGAGAGCGUCGCGUUCGCAAUGCGAAGGUCGAGGGUUCGAUCCCCUUCCACUCCACCA
rnacentral:tRNA from 1 species